UAACACAUUGCAAAAUUAAUGACCCUUGUCGUUUGCCCACUUCUUGUUUCCUUGGUGGGUUCGCCCACCACUAGGACAAACAUAAACCUUUUGUAAUUGCAAUCAGCGUCAGUAACAAAUUAAUAAUUACAACUUUCAACAACGGAUCUCUUGGUUCUGGCAUCGAUGAAGAACGCAGCGAAAUGCGAUAAGUAGUGUGAAUUGCAGAAUUCAGUGAAUCAUCGAAUCUUUGAACGCACAUUGCGCCCUUUGGUAUUCCAAAGGGCAUGCCUGUUCGAGCGUCAUUUGUACCCUCAAGCUUUGCUUGGUGUUGGGCGUCUUGUCUCUAGCUUUGCUGGAGACUCGCCUUAAAGUAAUUGGCAGCCGGCCUACUGGUUUCGGAGCGCAGCACAAGUCGCACUCUCUAUCAGCAAAGGUCUAGCAUCCAUUAAGCCUUUUUUUCAACUUUUGACCUCGGAUCAGGUAGGGAUACCCGCUGAACUUAAGCAUAUCAAUAAGCGGAGGAA
rnacentral:rRNA from 1 species